GGGGCUGUGGCUCAGUGGUAGAACACUAGCCUGGCAUGUGUGAGGCCCUGGGUUCGGUCCUCAGCAACACCA
rnacentral:tRNA from 1 species